rnacentral:rRNA from 1 species
UACGUAGGGGGCGAGCGUUGUCCGGAAUCAUUGGGCGUAAAGCGCGUGUAGGCGGCCCGGUAAGUCCGCUGUGAAAGUCCAGGGCUCAACCCUGGGAUGCCGGUGGAUACUGUCGGGCUAGAGCACGGUAGAGGCAGAUGGAAUUCCCGGUGUAGCGGUGGAAUGCGUAGAGAUCGGGAAGAACAUCAGUGGCGAAGGCGGUCUGCUGGGCCGUUGCUGACGCUGAGGCGCGACAGCGUGGGGAGCAAACAGG